rnacentral:rRNA from 1 species
UACGUAGGGUGCAAGCGUUGUCCGGAAUUAUUGGGCGUAAAGAGCUCGUAGGCGGUUUGUCGCGUCGGCCGUGAAAUCUCCACGCUUAACGUGGAGCGUGCGGUCGAUACGGGCAGACUUGAGUCGGUAGGGGGAGACUGGAAUUCCUGGUGUAGCGGUGAAAAUGCGCAGAUAUCAGGAGGAACACCGGUGGCGAAGGCGGGGUCUCUGGGGCCGAUACUGACGCUGAGGAGCGAAAGCGUGGGGGGAGCGAACAGG